UAAGGUAUCGCAGUACAGGGG
ensembl:piRNA 21ur-3675 ncRNA